AACGAACGCUGGCGGCAUGCCUAACACAUGCAAGUCGAACGAGAUCUUCGGGUCUAGUGGCGCACGGGUGCGUAACGCGUGGGAAUCUGCCCUUUGGUUCGGAAUAACAGUUGGAAACGACUGCUAAUACCGGAUGAUGACGAAAGUCCAAAGAUUUAUCGCCAGAGGAUGAGCCCGCGUAGGAUUAGCUAGUUGGUGUGGUAAAGGCGCACCAAGGCGACGAUCCUUAGCUGGUCUGAGAGGAUGAUCAGCCACACUGGGACCGAGACACGGCCCAGACUCCUACGGGAGGCAGCAGUGGGGAAUAUUGGACAAUGGGCGAAAGCCUGAUCCGGCAAUGCCGCGUGAGUGAUGAAGGCCUUAGGGUUGUAAAGUUCUUUUACCCGGGAUGAUAAUGACAGUACCGGGAGAAUAAGCUCCGGCUAACUCCGUGCCAGCCGCCGCCGUAA
rnacentral:rRNA from 1 species